AAAGGUGAAGCUGCCAGCAUGAUCUAGCUUUGGUUAGUGAGACAGCUGAAAGAAAGAUACAGAUAACACAUGGUAUCUAAGCAAUAGUGCUAACCCUAGCUAGGUCAUGCUCUGACAGCCUCACUCCUUC
rnacentral:pre_miRNA from 1 species